UAGAAGCAGCUGUAGGGCACAGCUUAUGGGGAACAUCCCGCGUCCAGGCUGCAGCAGGGUCACCAGCAGACGGGGAGAAACGUCCAGUGAGAAGCAGAUCUCCACCAGUGCCAGAUGGCGCAGGAAGAAGUACAUGGGUGCACGCAGGCCUGGGUCCAGGCUGGUGAGAAUGAAGAUGAGCGUGUUGCCUAGCAACGUGAGCAGGAAGGCAACCAGGAAGAGCACUGCAAGCAUUGGGCGCAGGGAGGGCACGUGUGAGAAGCCCAGCAGCACGAACUCCAGCUCACGUGAGCGGCUCUGAUUGGUCCAGGGAGGUGAUGCCCAGGAGGGUGGCAUGGGCUCAGGACUGAAGGGCAGGGCGUUAAGGACCUGAGAGGAGCCCUAUGGAGUACCAGAAGGAAGAGAUGAUGAACAAUCAUCAUCAUCAUCACCAUCAUCUCACCAUCAUCCCACCAUCAUUAUCACCACUACCACAACUACCAGCCACAGCAACAGCAGCAUCACCAUACCAAGAUAAUCUUAAUCUUCAUCAUCAUGAUUAACACCUCCAUCAGGAUCACCAUCAAAGAAUGAAAAAGAGAACAAUGAUGUUCUGCUCUCAGUGAUCAUUACAGCAUCUGUCAGUCAGACAGAGACCAUGUUCAUUCUUCCCUGCAGCUUGAUCCCUUGUCCUUCAUGGAGAACCCGCUUACCUUUUCCUUCUUUGUCUGCCGGGAACUAAGUUGUGACAAAGUUACUCCCUUGAUCCAGGAGCUCCUGGGGUUGACUGGGAUUCAGGAAAACAAAGCUUUCAGUUUUGGCUUUGGAUGGAAAAUGAGCGCCCUGAAGACUAACCCCUUGGAGACUUGUGCUCAUUACAUGUCCCUGUGCCCCAUAUGAAGACAGAGGGAGGUGGAGAGUCUGGAGCCCCUGCUUCCCCAGAGACCGUUGUCCUUGCCAUACUUCUCUCUUCCUAGUUUUCCCCUCUGACCUACUGCACUAUGUUUGCCUUUAGCUACACAAGAAAUCUACACUCCCCUCGCUAGCCUGUAAUGUCCCUAAAGAUUUCUCCUGACCACCCAUUCAUCUUCAUGUCUUACCAUGUCAUGGCAUGAUUCUCUAUAUCCCAAUGGCUCCUAGCUAUGGCAGGGAAACUGAGAAGGGAUUAAGUUUUGGGUAUGAGAAGACCAUGGUCCACAGUUCUACUUCAGCUGGUGAGUGAAUAAAGAAGAUAAAUUAUUAAGAUUUGCACAGACUUCCCAAUGGACAAGCAAACACAGCCCUUCAUUCUGGAAGAGACUUGCCUGUGGGCACGAAGCACAGAGUUUAAGAGAGAUAAAUCCAUGUGGCAGCAAAUCCAUGCGGCUUUGGAUACUGGUGCCACCGUUCUCUUGCCUUAUGAUACUGCUAAAGUUGAAAGAUAAGAUCCAACAACUCCAAAUGGAUCUUCAAACACAGAAACAUUAAUCCUCUAGACAGUGGAUUACUAAUAGCCAUAUAUGGAAAUGGAUGCUACCUUCUAAUCCCCUCUUUUCUUCCUUUUCUUAGCCCUACUAAUUGCACCCUGCCUCAUAAAACUCUUGGCUAGAUUUCUUCAGCAACAGAUGCAAAAUAUUUCUAACCAAACUCUGAACCAGUUAAUGUUACAGGACUACCAGCCUCUAUUGACAAAGACAGAGAUCUGCAGAACCUGGUCACAUCCUGAAGAGGAAGAUUAAGAUUGUCCCAAGAACCUUGACACCCCAAUUCAGAAGGAAGCAGUCUAAUGAUAACUUUACCCCCUUUCCAAUCCCCAGGUGCUUAUUACUAAACAAAAAAUGGAGGAAUGUAGGGAAAAGUGGCUGGCUAAAAAACUCACCCUGACCCUGUAGCCUGGAACUAGGGAAAGAUGGCUCAGAAAAGGCCAGUGAAAGAAACAGUUUGGCUCAAAUCAGAGCUAUCUCUGCCCCUGGCCAACUAACUUGUGAAACCAACCAAUCACAGAGCAAAACAGUAGAACCCUGUCCUGUGUUUGGGACCUGAGCCUAUAGGUCCCAAAACUUCUGUUGCCUUCCUAUGAAAUGAGAUUCAUGUAGCAUAGAUUUUAUAGGGCUAGAGAAUGUAUGCAAAUGGUUAAUCAUUUUAAAUGGUUUAUUCCAUUUUUAAUCUUGGAGGGUGUGGAUGCCUACAGAGGCUAGAGGUAUUGCAUCUCCUGAAAAUGGAAUUAUAGCUGCUGUGAGGGGCCUGGUAUGGAUGCUGGGACUCAGAUUCAGAUCUUCUGGAAGAGCAGUACACAUUCCUAAGCACUGAGCCAUCACUCCAGCUUCUAGCCAACCAUUUGAAAGUGCUUAUUUAGAGUAGUACCUGGACAAGACAGAGCACAGUAAUCACUCUGUUCACUGCGUAAUUAGUAUCACUAAUUUUAGCAGGUUCUUUGAGACACAAUCCAUAUUAAUAUACAACUCACCCAAUUUAAAAUAAAAAUUUUGAUGUUCUA